rnacentral:sRNA from 1 species
CUUUCGUGUAAUCAAUUGAUCAUAUUUUUUGGAUUGUCGUAAUUUGCUUUAAUUUUGGUGAUUCUUACGAAACCUAGAAAUCUCUAAUUCUUCAUAUGGAACCUAGAAGAGAAGAUGUGACUUAGACCAUGUACAUAGGUGAUAUAUUUAGAGUAUCAAAAGUCACAAAAUAAUUUUUAAUAGAUCAAACAAUAGAUUUAGGCCUGAUACUGUAUCAGUGCAGUGAUUCUUUUGAUACCCAGUAUCGGAUGACGUGAAGGCUCAUGAUUCGUCUGUGAAAUUCGUUUUUUUCUAGAAAUUU